UCCAGCAUCUGCAGUCAUUGUUUUUACCUAUAUAAAUGAUAUUUCCAUGUGAAGGGGGUUUCGCUGCGUGUUCAUUAGAAGGUGAUUGUUAUGCACAGAAGAUCCUAACCACAAAGGGCAGAUAGGUUCAACACAAAGGAGCUGCUCUCAUAAGAUAAACAAGGACCACCUGGAACCUGGACCACCUGGAGUGCAAGAAACCACAAAGUCUCAGCAAUAACAAACAGCAACUCACAAAUAGUGGUACCUGCCCUAGCACACACUAAUACUCCAACAAAUCCCGAUAUGUGGCUUCAUUUUGACAUCCCUCUGCUGUUGAAAAUCAGUGAAGGAACAAAUUA